GGAUUCCCUUAGUAGCGGCGAGCGAACAGGGAGAAGCCCAGCACCGAAGCCCGCAGUCGGAAACGGCUGCAGGGCAAUGUGGUGUUUGGGAGAGCCCGUUUAACUCGGUAAGUGUGUAACGUGUCCAAGUCCUUCUUGAACGGGGCCACACACCCAUAGAGGGUGCCAGGCCCGUAGUGACCGUUACCAUGUCCGAGUGGGUUUCUCCUUAGAGUCGGGUUGCUUGAGAGUGCAGCUCUAAGUGGGUGGUAAACUCCAUCUAAGGCUAAAUAUAACCACGAGACCGAUAGCGAACAAGUACCGUGAGGGAAAGUUGAAAAGAACUUUGAAGAGAGAGUUCAAUAGUACGUGAAACCGUUCAGGGGUAAACCUGAGAAAACCGAACAAAUCGAAAGGACAGAUUCAAUCACCUCGCCUGUGGUAGCACACUGUUAACGUUACAUGGGACGUCUAAUACUUCGGUGCUAGUCGCCCCGUUAUCAAUGCUGUUUACUGCAGGAGGUGUGCAUUUCUAUCCUAGUAGAUGCGUCGUGACCCAUUGGGAGCUUGUCUAAGGUCCGCUAGGGAGCCUGUGACGUUUCGUUUAAUUACUUAGCGUUCACAGACCUGCGGUGUCCCGACGGGUAACUCGAUGGACGAAACGUCAGGUGGUGGGUCGCUUCGGCGAGCGAUACACCCUGUGACAAGUAACUGUGCAGACCGUGGAAAUCGGACCUAGCGCCGGUUCCGCACUCACAUUACUGUUGGUCACAUGGGCUAUGUAUCCGAUCCCGUCACCCGUCGGCGACGUCUGAGCUUUGGGUACUUUCAGGACCCGUCUUGAAACACGGACCAAGGAGUCUAGCAUGUACGCGAGUCAUUGGGUCACAAACUAAACCUAAAGGCGAAAUGAAAGUAAAAGUUUAUAUUUUUACAUGAACUAAGGGAAGAUGGGCUUAUACAUAUUAAGCCUCGCACUCCCGGGCCGUCCCAUACUCAUAGCGAGUUGGGGCGGACUAAGAGCUUACACGCUGGGACC
rnacentral:rRNA from 1 species